AGGCAGCCUCUUUGCCAGGUCUAAUGGCAAAGCAGGUGUUAAACUGCUCGUAGAUAAAUGUCUUUUGCUCUUCAGACUUGCUGAGAUGUCUUUGAAGCUGGUCUAGUAAGCUCAAGUACAUU